rnacentral:lncRNA from 1 species
GUCCCCGCGCAGGGAGAAGCUGUCGUGCCGCUCCGAGCUCUACGGCGACGAGGACGAGAACUGGAGCAGCCCCCGGGGCUUCGCCGCCAGCAACCAAGGGGCCAACUGGGAAGGCGCCGAGACCCCCAACGUCUACGUCAGCCUGGCGAAGGUGGACACCGCGCAGAAGAUCCACAUCCAGAGGCCCUCCAGCAUCCUGCCCUGAGCGCAGCUGCCUGGGGAGGGGGCGGCCGGUCCCGGCGCCGGGAAACGAACCGGGGCGGGACGGGGCUGCCGUCCGCGUGCGACAGGCGUGGGAGCGCACCGCCGGCCCGGGGCACCCCCCGCGCCGCCCUUUCACCCCCUCCUGUUUGAUAGCGGAAUAAAAACGUUGAUUUUUAUCGCGUCCCGCUGUUUCCGCG